rnacentral:rRNA from 1 species
UACGGGGGGGGCAAGCGUUGUUCGGAAUUACUGGGCGUAAAGCGCACGUAGGCGGCUUUCUAAGUCGGGGGUGAAAUCCUGGAGCUCAACUCCAGAACUGCCUUCGAUACUGGAAAGCUCGAGUCCCGGAGAGGUGAGUGGAACUGCGAGUGUAGAGGUGAAAUUCGUAGAUAUUCGCAAGAACACCAGUGGCGAAGGCGGCUCACUGGCCCGGUACUGACGCUGAGGUGCGAAAGCGUGGGGAGCAAACAGG